rnacentral:rRNA from 1 species
UGAGGAAUAUUGCGCAAUGGAGGAAACUCUGACGCAGCAACGCCGCGUGGGGGAUGAAGCUCUAUGGAGUGUAAACCCCUGUAAGCAGGGACGAAAGGUGUAUAGUCGAAAGGCUAUAUGCGUGACGGUACCUGCAGAGUAAGCUCCGGCUAACUCCGUGCCAGCAGCCGCGGUAAUACGGGGGGAGCGAGCGUUGUCCGGAAUUACUGGGCGUAAAGGGCGUGUAGGCGGUAUGAUAAGUCAGAUGUGAAAGGCUCCGGCUUAACCGGGGAAGGUCAUUUGAGACUGUCAGGCUUGAGUGCGAGAGAGGGUAGCGGAAUUCCCAGUGUAGCGGUGAAAUGCGUAGAUAUUGGGAAGAACACCAGUAGCGCAGGCGGCUACCUGGCUCGUAACUGACGCUGAGGCGCGAAAGCGUGGGGAGCAAACAGG